GGGGAAAGGAACCACAGAGGUCAAACAGCAAGAAGAAAUGGGAGCCAUCUAUUCCUGGAGCCCAGGCCUGCCAAACGCAGAAGUGUGCGCUGAAGACCAGACCAGAAAGAUCACACACACAACUCAGAAAAAGAGAAAGGAUUCUGCUUCGUUUGCUUGCACCAAUCUGAGAGGGGACACUGUCUAUUUUUAGCAUGAAAAGGAACUUAAAGAACGCUAGUGGUCCUUUGUCAGAUCUUCAUGUUUUUUAAAUGUUUGUAGAUUCCCCGGCCAUUGGCAGACUCAUUCAAAAAAGACAUGCUAAAAAAAAUUAAAUGUUUUAAAUGUCAUCUAUGGCAUGGAAGUUUCUGCAUCUCCCUACCUUUCCAUUAACACGAAAAAGGAAGUGCUGACAUCAGGGUGGGUCUUGAUUUAAGUGCAUAGCAACAUAACGCUCCCCUUGGUUCAGCUUCACUAUGUGAAAAUCGAGUUCUCAUCAGGUUGAAAAUUUAAAUCUUUCAGACAUAUCUUUUACAUGUAAUUCCCUUUGAACUUCCGUCCAUGCUAUUUAAACACGUUCAGUAUUUUCCUCCUUCUAUAUUAAUAUAGUAGAGCUCAAAGAAUAAAAUUCACCAGUGCUUUCUUCUUUGUGUGUUUUCAGUAGGUACCCCUGAAGCAAUCACCUACUGGGAGAUGUGGGAGGAGCCACUCUGCGGGAGAAGGGGCCACUGAAUAUUCUUUGUCCCACAGUUCAAGGGCUGUUCUUUUGUUAAUAGUUCAAACACAGAUACAGUUUCUUCAGAGCCUUGUCUACACCUGGAUAAGUAAGGUUUGUAACGUAAUUAACUAUAAUAAACAAUUUAGUUUCAAUGUUUUCUUUAAUAUGAUAACAUGUUAUUAUGGACACUUGGUUUUGGAUGCGUGGCUAACAACUGCCUUUUGGAUUUUCCAUGUUAGGAUGAAAAAAAUGCACAACAUACAUCACCAAGAAAAAAGGUUGUGCCUGGCAGUGUAAUUGAUUCUAUAACAAAGAGAAAAGCUUCGAAAUGUGAGUGGACAGCAUCAUGAGCAGCUUUCCUUGCACACCUGUGGAAAUGCACAUUCAUUAAACACAUCUGUGUUAAGUGCACAUGCAUAAGGCAGAGUGUUAGAGGGAUGUGAAAAAUGGGUGAUGAUGCUCAUGUAUGAGAUUCUCCCACGACUCUGAUGUGC
rnacentral:lncRNA from 1 species